CGAACGGGUGAGUAACACGUGGGCAACCUGCCCAAAANAGGGGGAUAACACUUGGAAACAGGUGCUAAUACCGCAUAACCAUAGUUACCGCAUGGUAACUAUGUAAAAGGUGGCUAUGCUACCGCUUUUGGAUGGGCCCGCGACGCAUUAGCUAGUUGGUGGGGUAAAGGCUUACCAAGGCAAUGAUGCGUAGCCGAACUGAGAGGUUGAUCGGCCACAUUGGGACUGAGACACGGCCCAAACUCCUACGGAAGGCAGCAG
rnacentral:rRNA from 1 species